rnacentral:sRNA from 1 species
AAUAUUGUAACGGAUACAGAAAAGUUCAGAAGGACUGAGCUAGUUUGCGAAACCACAGCACACUUUGGCAAAGAGGGAAUGCACAACAAAACGGAUGGGGUGGCUGGACGAGAGCAGCUCUUGGCUCAGCAAAGAAUGCACAGUAUGAUCAGCUCAGUGGAUGUGAAGUCAGAAGUUCCUGUGGGCCUGGAGCCCAUCUCACCUUUAGACCUAAGGACAGACCUCAGGAUGAUGAUGCCCGUGGUGGACCCUGUUGUCCGUGAGAAGCAAUUGCAGCAGGAAUUACUUCUUAUCCAGCAGCAGCAACAAAUCCAGAAGCAGCUUCUGAUAGCAGAGUUUCAGAAACAGCAUGAGAACUUGACACGGCAGCACCAGGCUCAGCUUCAGGAGCAUAUCAAGUUGCAACAGGAACUUCUAGCCAUAAAACAGCAACAAGAACUCCUAGAAAAGGAGCAGAAACUGGAGCAGCAGAGGCAAGAACAGGAAGUAGAGAGGCAUCGCAGAGAACAGCAGCUUCCUCCUCUCAGAGGCAAAGAUAGAGGACGAGAAAGGGCAGUGGCAAGUACAGAAGUAAAGCAGAAGCUUCAAGAGUUCCUACUGAGUAAAUCAGCAACGAAAGACACUCCAACUAAUGGAAAAAAUCAUUCCGUGAGCCGCCAUCCCAAGCUCUGGUACACGGCUGCCCACCACACAUCAUUGGAUCAAAGCUCUCCACCCCUUAGUGGAACAUCUCCAUCCUACAAGUACACAUUACCAGGAGCACAAGAUGCAAAGGAUGAUUUCCCCCUUCGAAAAACUGAAUCCUCAGUCAGUAGCAGUUCUCCAGGCUCUGGUCCCAGUUCACCAAACAAUGGGCCAACUGGAAGUGUUACUGAAAAUGAGACUUCGGUUUUGCCCUCUACCCCUCAUGCUGAGCAAAUGGUUUCACAGCAACGCAUUCUAAUUCAUGAAGAUUCCAUGAACCUGCUAAGUCUUUAUACCUCUCCUUCUUUGCCCAACAUUACCUUGGGGCUUCCCGCAGUGCCAUCCCAGCUCAAUGCUUCGAAUUCACUCAAAGAAAAGCAGAAGUGUGAGACGCAGACGCUUAGGCAAGGUGUUCCUCUGCCUGGGCAGUAUGGAGGCAGCAUCCCGGCAUCUUCCAGCCACCCUCACGUUACUUUAGAGGGAAAGCCACCCAACAGCAGCCACCAGGCUCUCCUGCAGCAUUUAUUAUUGAAAGAACAAAUGCGACAGCAAAAGCUUCUUGUAGCUGGUGGAGUUCCCUUACAUCCUCAGUCUCCCUUGGCAACAAAAGAGAGAAUUUCACCUGGCAUUAGAGGUACCCACAAAUUGCCCCGUCACAGACCCCUGAACCGAACCCAGUCUGCACCUUUGCCGCAGAGCACGUUGGCUCAGCUGGUCAUUCAACAGCAACACCAGCAAUUCUUGGAGAAGCAGAAGCAAUACCAGCAGCAGAUCCACAUGAACAAACUGCUUUCGAAAUCUAUUGAACAACUGAAGCAACCAGGCAGUCACCUUGAGGAAGCGGAGGAAGAGCUUCAGGGGGACCAGGCGAUGCAGGAAGACAGAGCGCCCUCUAGUGGCAACAGCACUAGGAGCGACAGCAGUGCUUGUGUGGAUGACACACUGGGACAAGUUGGGGCUGUGAAGGUCAAGGAGGAACCAGUGGACAGUGAUGAAGAUGCUCAGAUCCAGGAAAUGGAAUCUGGGGAGCAGGCUGCUUUUAUGCAACAGCCCUUCCUGGAACCCCCGCACACACGUGCGCUCUCUGUGCGCCAAGCUCCUCUGGCUGCGGUUGGCAUGGAUGGAUUAGAGAAACACCGUCUUGUCUCCAGGACUCACUCUUCCCCUGCUGCCUCUGUUUUACCUCACCCAGCAGUGGACCGCCCCCUCCAGCCUGGCUCUGCAACUGGAAUUGCCUAUGACCCCUUGAUGCUGAAACACCAGUGCGUUUGUGGCAAUUCCACCACCCACCCUGAGCAUGCUGGACGAAUACAGAGUAUCUGGUCACGACUGCAAGAAACUGGGCUGCUAAAUAAAUGUGAGCGAAUUCAAGGUCGAAAAGCCAGCCUGGAGGAAAUACAGCUUGUUCAUUCUGAACAUCACUCACUGUUGUAUGGCACCAACCCCCUGGACGGACAGAAGCUGGACCCCAGGAUACUCCUAGGUGAUGACUCUCGAAAGUUUUUUUCCUCAUUACCUUGUGGUGGACUUGGGGUGGACAGUGACACCAUUUGGAAUGAGCUACACUCGUCCGGUGCUGCACGCAUGGCUGUUGGCUGUGUCAUCGAGCUGGCUUCCAAAGUGGCCUCAGGAGAGCUGAAGAAUGGGUUUGCUGUUGUGAGGCCCCCUGGCCAUCACGCUGAAGAAUCCACAGCCAUGUAAGUACCAGGGACUGUUGCCCAUCUCCAAGCACCACGGUUCCUGGCGGUCACCUGCCCCGUGCAUGUUUCUGAAGCCUCUAAUUGUUAGCAGAUGGACUGAAAAAUCUUGCGAGGUACUCCCAGAAGCAGAUUUAUGGCUUCAGAGAUCAUAUAGCAUUUAAAAAAAUGCUCUG